GGGACACGUGGUAUCCUGUCUGAAUAUGGGGGGACCAUCCUCCAAGGCUAAAUACUCCUGACUGACCGAUAGUGAACCAGUACCGUGAGGGAAAGGCGAAAAGAACCCCGGCGAGGGGAGUGAAAAAGAACCUGAAACCGUGUACGUACAAGCAGUGGGAGCACGCUUAGGCGUGUGACUGCGUACCUUUUGUAUAAUGGGUCAGCGACUUAUAUUCUGUAGCAAGGUUAACCGAAUAGGGGAGCCGAAGGGAAACCGAGUCUUAACUGGGCGUUAAGUUGCAGGGUAUAGACCCGAAACCCGGUGAUCUAGCCAUGGGCAGGUUGAAGGUUGGGUAACACUAACUGGAGGACCGAACCGACUAAUGUUGAAAAAUUAGCGGAUGACUUGUGGCUGGGGGUGAAAGGCCAAUCAAACCGGGAGAUAGCUGGUUCUCCCCGAAAGCUAUUUAGGUAGCGCCUCGUGAAUUCAUCUCCGGGGGUAGAGCACUGUUUCGGCAAGGGGGUCAUCCCGACUUACCAACCCGAUGCAAACUGCGAAUACCGGAGAAUGUUAUCACGGGAGACACACGGCGGGUGCUAACGUCCGUCGUGAAGAGGGAAACAACCCAGACCGCCAGCUAAGGUCCCAAAGUCAUGGUUAAGUGGGAAACGAUGUGGGAAGGCCCAGACAGCCAGGAUGUUGGCUUAGAAGCAGCCAUCAUUUAAAGAAAGCGUAAUAGCUCACUGGUCGAGUCGGCCUGCGCGGAAGAUGUAACGGGGCUAAACCAUGCACCGAAGCUGCGGCAGCGACGCUUAUGCGUUGUUGGGUAGGGGAGCGUUCUGUAAGCCUGUGAAGGUGUGCUGUGAGGCAUGCUGGAGGUAUCAGAAGUGCGAAUGCUGACAUAAGUAACGAUAAAGCGGGUGAAAAGCCCGCUCGCCGGAAGACCAAGGGUUCCUGUCCAACGUUAAUCGGGGCAGGGUGAGUCGACCCCUAAGGCGAGGCCGAAAGGCGUAGUCGA
rnacentral:rRNA from 2 species